UUCCCGGGGACCAGGUGGUCAGAACGAUGAUUUCCUUUGCAAUCCCUCGUGUAAAUAUGAUGUAAAUCAAGAUCACGGUUUGUAACGUACAAUACAAUUAUUAUGCCAUGCCUAAUAUAUACUAGUACGUGGGGGUUGGUGAGGAUUCUGGGGAAAAUCUUCUCCUUGCUAUUUGGCAUCACUGGAAACAAUCUUCAAACUCUUCGACUAACAUUGUUUGUCAGAGGUUGAUUUGGCGUGAUUGGGGGCUCAGGAACAUUGAGAGGGUUCAUGGAAGAGGCUAGUGAUGUGCACAGACUGGUGGUUAGCUUGGGGGAUCAAGACGAUGAA
rnacentral:sRNA from 1 species